UACGAAGGGGGCUAGCGUUGCUCGGAAUCACUGGGCGUAAAGCGCACGUAGGCGGGUUGCGUAAGUCAGGGGUGAAAUCCUGGAGCUCAACUCCAGAACUGCCCUUGAUACUGGCGGCCUUGAGUCCGGGAGAGGUGAGUGGAACUGCGAGUGUAGAGGUGAAAUUCGUAGAUAUUCGCAAGAACACCAGUGGCGAAGGCGGCUCACUGGCCCGGUACUGACGCUGAGGUGCGAAAGCGUGGGGAGCAAACAGG
rnacentral:rRNA from 1 species